AACGAACGCUGGCGGCAGGCUUAACACAUGCAAGUCGAGCGCCUCGCAAGGGGAGCGGCAGACGGGUGAGUAACGCGUGGGAAACUACCCUUUGGUACGGAAUAACACAGAGAAAUUUGUGCUAAUACCGUAUGUGCCCUUCGGGGGAAAGAUUUAUCGCCAUAGGAUGUGCCCGCGUCGGAUUAGCUAGUUGGUGUGGUAAUGGCGCACCAAGGCGACGAUCCGUAGCUGGUCUGAGAGGAUGACCAGCCACAUUGGGACUGAGACACGGCCCAAACUCCUACGGGAGGCAGCAGUGGGGAAUAUUGGACAAUGGGCGCAAGCCUGAUCCAGCCAUGCCGCGUGAGUGAUGAAGGCCUUAGGGUUGUAAAGCUCUUUCACCCACGACGAUAAUGACGGUAGUGGGAGAAGAAGCCCCGGCUAACUUCGUG
rnacentral:rRNA from 1 species